UACAGAGGGUGCAAGCGUUGUUCGGAAUUAUUGGGCGUAAAGCGCGUGUAGGCGGCCAAGCAGGUCGGAUGUGAAAGCCCUCGGCUCAACCAAGGAAGUGCAUUCGAAACCGCAUGGCUCGAGUCCCGGAGAGGAUGGUGGAAUUCUCGGUGUAGAGGUGAAAUUCGUAGAUAUCGAGAGGAACACCGGCGGCGAAGGCGGCCAUCUGGACGAGGACUGACGCUGAGAUGCGAAAGCGUGGGGAGCAAACAGG
rnacentral:rRNA from 1 species